GACAUUUUAAAUUUUUCUUUGCAGAAAGUCUUAGAAUAUUAGAAUACCUUUCUAAAACGGUCGAUUGGAGUUACCCAGCACUGGCUCAUAUCUUCACAAGACAUAAUUAGAACAACGAAUGUAGCCGUUCUUGGUUUCACAUGGAAGAAUGCUAGAGUUCAACAAUGGACAGAGACUUGGAGAAACCCAGAGAUGUUGUUAGUGAAAUAGAAAGUGAAACAAUACAACUCACCACCCACUGCACAGAAAUGUAACAAAGGGAGGGAAUGCCCCUGCAUCCAUAGUAAAGGAGAAAAAAGGAGAGUUCCAGUGAACACUGCUGACACAGGAUUCAUGGUGAAUUGACUGGAGAAGUUCUCUGCACCUCCCACAUACCAUCAUAGUGCUUUAACUGGGUGCCAUCUUGAGAAGGGCCAUAUUACCUGAGCUUGCUUCUUUGAGAAUUAGCCCAUGAGAGAAUAGAAGGCACUUUGAAUGCUGCAGUUUGCAACGCCAGCUAUUGGAGUCUGGAUGAGUGUACAGUUGAGUGUGAUGUUGCACAGGAGCCAGGACUGGGAACACCAGAAGAUGAGUGAUGGGUGGUAGAUUGCACAGAGCUUGCUGUCCCCCUCCCUCAGCACAGAUCUUUAAGAUUCUUUAAACUCUCCCUACCCUCAGAGAUGAAUAGGGGACGUCAUAGAGCCAGUGUUACCUCAGCCCUUUAGAGUGCACAGAUCCAGAUAAAAACUUGGGGGAGUUCUUCAUUCUUUGCUAGAUGCUUGAUAAGCCACCUUGUCAUUCCAGGUCUGCCCUGCUCUAGGUGUGGAUAACCCAGAUAGUGCCAGAGAGAAUUUGUCUCUAGGGAGCUCUACCUAGCUUGUUCCAGCAUGCAAAGCAGCUUUGAGAAAUUCCAGCUACUCACAAAUCACUUCCGCAAGUUGCCUGAGGUGCACCACAAAGGAAAAAGGGGUGUGAAUAACCCCCAGCCUUUUCUCUAAGGAGUGCACAACUUAAGAUGC
rnacentral:lncRNA from 1 species